rnacentral:rRNA from 1 species
GGCGAACGCUGGCGGCGUGCUUAACACAUGCAAGUCGAACGGAAAGGCCCUGCUUUUGUGGGGUGCUCGAGUGGCGAACGGGUGAGUAACACGUGAGUAACCUGCCCUUGACUUUGGGAUAACUUCAGGAAACUGGGGCUAAUACCGGAUAGGAGCUCCUGCUGCAUGGUGGGGGUUGGAAAGUUUCGGCGGUUGGGGAUGGACUCGCGGCUUAUCAGCUUGUUGGUGGGGUAGUGGCUUACCAAGGCUUUGACGGGUAGCCGGCCUGAGAGGGUGACCGGCCACAUUGGGACUGAGAUACGGCCCAGACUCCUACGGGAGGCAGCAGUGGGGAAUAUUGCACAAUGGGCGGAAGCCUGAUGCAGCGACGCCGCGUGCGGGAUGACGGCCUUCGGGUUGUAAACCGCUUUCGCCUGUGACGAAGCGUGAGUGACGGUAAUGGGUAAAGAAGCACCGGCUAACUACGUG